rnacentral:lncRNA from 1 species
UUAAAGGGCCAGCUUGGGCCCAGUGGACAAAGGUGAGAUGCCUUGACCAGGUGGAACAUCCUCUUCUUUGCCUCCUGAGAUUAAAAGGGACAUCUUUGCUGUUACAAGCUGUGAAAGGCUGGGAGGUGGGGUUGAAGGACAGGUAAGCGGUGGGAUUUGUCUAGUUCUGUGCUUUCUGGGACCCAGAAACAGCAAGGUGUGGGAAGUGACCACCUGGCAGUGGUGAGGGCCUGUGAGGUGCCCUGCUCCUGCCCCCUCCCUAUGUGAGGUAACCUUGGGGAGACAGGUAUCUGCAGAGGGUGGAGCAGAAUGUGCCUGUGUCAUUCUCCUAGGGCUGCCUAGCAAAGUGCCACCAACUGGGUAGCUUAGACACACAGAGACUUGUGACCUCAGACUCUGAAGUGCAGAGCUCUGGAAUUGAGGUGUCGGCCGCAUUCCCCGGGAUGGUCUCCCUGCAGCUGCUCUAGUUUCCUGGGUUUGGCAGCAGAGCUCCAGACUCCAAAGGGUGUGUUUCCUGGGUCUGAUUCCUCCUGUUUAUAAGACACAAGGCUAUGCAGAUUUUUUUUCUAUACAUUUUACAACUUUGCACUUGAAAAUUUGACUUUAUGGAUUAUUUUGAAUAGCUUUUUGGGUGAGCCAUAAAGAUUGCGUUCGAGUUUCACGUGGUUCAUUUUUAUUUUCCCAACUGUUCUGCAGCCAUUUGUGGUUACAGAUUUGUUUUCUCUCCAUCGAGUGGCCUUUGUGCCUUUGAGAGGACCACUUGACUGGUUUUACAUGGGUCUUUCUGUGUAGAGAAUCAGAAGUAACUGCGUUACUAUUACUGCAACAUUUGGCAUAGUCGGCAGGACUUGCAUUUUCAAAUGCUAAUGUUUCCAAUAAUACCUUUGCUAUUUGAUCUUGACCCAUUGCCCUCAUUACAAAAGUACGCGGCCUUGCAAGAAAAUCAGUGUAAGAUUCAGUAGCCCCUUGUAUAGUUUUAGUAAGGAAGGUUGUGCCUGACCAGUGGGUAUCACACAUCUUUAAGCUCUUAAACCUGUCGAACUUGUUGAAGAUCCUGAUCUGUAUAUUGAGCCUGUCUCUAAAGGCACAGUAAUUACCCUCCUCCAUUAACUUAUCCUCCAUAGGUCCCUGGGGAUUUUGAAGGUUUUGUUGUCUAGUUAUAGGAAACAAAUGUGGUGGAUCAACAAAAGAACCAGGAGGAGCUGCAAGAUCAUCAUCAUCAUGUAUCAUAGUAAGAGGAAAUGAAAAAUGUUGUUGUUCUCUACCCACAUCAGCUCUAUACUCUGUCAUUGGAAAGAGAGAAGCAUUAGAAGGAGUAGUAGGUUUAAGAGAGGACCUUUGCUUUUUUAAUCUCAUUUUAUCCACAAAGGCCUCCAUAAUUUCUUUCAUAUUGGAGUCACUAUCUGAACUUUUUGAAUCUUCCUCAUCGCCCAGAUCUGAUUUAGGAGAGUCAUCUAUAGUAUCACAAAUAUCUUCCUUGGGCUCCGUUUUGUUAACCUUAUUAUCAGAUUCUGAUGUAUAAACUUGUCUUUUACAAAGAGAGCCCUUUUCAUUAUUGCUUUCUAAUAAUUGCAAUGCCUGAGUAAUAGUGCCACACAAUGUCCAAAUCUUCAAAGAAAUAACAUUCCCAGCCUGAUGCUGCUUAUGGAGCUCUUUCUGAACCAAUUUCCAUUCCCCUAAAUUUAACUGGACCUUAGUUUGAUACUGGAACCAGUGACAAUGACAUUCUAUAAUUUUAAAUAACUCCUUGAGUCUCUUAUGAGAUGUUUUCGCACCUAUGGAAUAUAAUAAUCCUUGUAGUAACUCCACAUAUUGUUCCUUUAAGGACUGGGAGUUUCCCAUGUUAGUUCUGAAAGUCCCCCUAAAGUCUCUUUCAACCCGGGGCGAUACCUUUCGAUAUUUUGUUAAUCCCAAAAGUCCCCCUUUCGUUUUGUUAACCCGGGGUAUGUUGAGCUCUGCUCUUUGUUAAGAACAGAUAAUAAAAUUUUUCUUAGCGCCCUCCUAGCCCACUUGGCAGAACAUCCCAUCCUUGUCGCCAAUGGGUCAAGAUCAAGUAGCAAAGGUAUUAUUGGAAACAUGUAUGUGGAAUGUCAUACUUUUGUAAAAAUGAAUGUAAUUUUUGUGAGGUAUAUGCAGGUGCAUUGUCAGUUUUAAGUUCCUUAGGAAUUCCCAUGAUAGCAAAACAAGAUAAUAAAUGAGAAAUGAUUGCAUCAGCUUUUUUUUUUUUAAGAUAAACUGUGGCCCAUAGAAAAUGAGUAUGAGUCUCAAUAGUAUGAUGUACAUACCUUAGUUGUCCAAAUGACUGAAUUAUAACAACAUCCAUUUGUUAAAGGGCAAUAGGAUGGAGUCCCCUUGGAUUAACACCAGGAGGACAGUAAGGAAUAUUAAAAGGAGCACAUGAUGAACCGUUAUUUUGUAUUUUUUAUAAAGUCCUUUAGUGUUUGUAUGAUGUAAAGCAUGUUCUAGAUGAGCCUUUUGUAAGGGGAAUAAUAGUUGAUCAAUAUUCUGAUUUUUUUUUUUUAGUUAAUUGUCCUGGGAGUGUAGAAUGUGCUCUAAUAUGAGUAAAAUAUACUGAAAUUUGGCCUACUAUUUUUGUUGUUAUUUUUACAUGUAGUGAGAUAGGACAUAGAGUCUUAUCUUAGGUAAGUAGGGCUCUUUAUAAAUUUUAAGUAAACUGUUGUAGUUUUAAAGUUUGUUUUUGUUUUUUUAAAAUAUUAUAUUAUAAAUUUUAUAUAAAUAAUUGUUUGUUUAUUUGAGUAAAAACUAACACAUGUUAUUUCAUGUUUCAUCUAAAACAUGAAAUAAAGAAAGGCUGAAAGCCUUUAGCUUUUUUUAGAAAAAUAGAAAAAUGUUCUUGUGUUUUAUAAUAUUAACCUUUAUGUAGAUAAGGCUCUCAUUAACUUAAAAAAUACAUUUAAAUUGUACCUCAGUGUAAAAAGUAACAUAAAACUCUAUAUAUCUUAUUGAUAAUUGGCCCAGUUAUAGAACAUUAAAUGAUAUAAAUAAAUCUCCAAUAUGUUAUUUUUAUGAGCCUAAAAUUACCAUGCAACCUUUUGGAGAACACCAGCUUGAUAUAAUUUUUUUUAAAGCUUUUAUCUUAAUGACUUAUAUACCUGGAAAAUAUGAACACAUUUAAUAUACAAAGAAGAGUAAUAGUACCAUAAUUACUAUUGAUGUUUUUAUAUUAAUUAAGUUUAGCUCUNACUUGCUUAAACCUAUAUAGCCAACAUACAUAGACCUUCUUUAUCACUUGCUUAAACCUAUAUAGCCAACAUACAUAGACCUUCUUUAUCACUUGCUUAAACCUAUAUAGCCAACAUACAUAGACCUUCUUUAUCACUUGCUUAAACCUAUAUAGCCAACAUACAUAGACCUUCUUUAUCACUUGCUUAAACCUAUAUAGCCAACAUACAUAGACCUUCUUUAUCAUUUGCUUAAACCCUUUUAUUUACUCACUUCUAGGAACACAUUUUUUUUUUAUUAAAUCCAUAACUAGAACCUUCUAAUUUUUUUAACCUCUUCUUUAUUUACACCUUGAAAUAAUCCUUGUAAAUUUUUGAAUUUAAGUAAAUUAUUCCAUUUUAAUAAGAGAUAUUUUGUUAUUUGUAGUACACAAUUAAUCACAUUUGUUUACCAUACUAUGAAAAUAUAGUGUCUAAAUAUUAGGGAUGAUAAAGUAACCAUUUAUUUAUUUAUUUUUAUUAUUUAUCAACUUAAAAAAUUAUUAAUAAUGUUAUGUAAUUUAAGGAGUUAAAAGUAUUUAAUGGUAUAUUUAACAUUUAGCAUAUUAACCUUGUAAAUUAACCCGAUAUUUAACAAAAAUACUCAUAAACAAGUAAUCUUAUGUCUAAUUAAUUUACUUAUUUUAUCAAAACAUUAGACAAGUAUAAUGAACAGUCUUAGCCAUUUGUUGUUGUUGUUGUUGAAGAAAAGUCCUAGAAUCAGAGCAUAUCAGUCAUUAACAUGUUAAAGACAUCUUAUUUUUAUCUGUUUACCCAAUUUAAAUUGAACCAUUUAAAUCAGUGAAUUACAAAUAUUUGAAUCUAUUUUUUUUAAAAUUUUUUAUGAGCACUCUUUACAUAUAUAUCAAUCUUUAUAUCAUGUACAUGAUAUAUGGACAUACGCACAAACAGACAUACAACAUAUAAUACAAAUGUGCACACAUAACACAAUAAAGGCCUUGUAGCUAUUUUAGGUGAAAUUUCCAUUGUAAUGUUUAAAUAUUUCAUAGUUGAUCAAAAAUAGAACUGAUCAGAAAAACAUUAACUUAGGUCUGUAGGAUCAAAAUUAUGAGCUCAAAAAAUACAGAAUCUAGGAAAAAGCAAGAGUCCUAGAAAAAAUGACCAGCCGGUAAUUAGAAAGUAUCACAAAAAUUAUUUAUUUUAUUUUAUUUAUUUAUUUAUUUUUUACAAUCCCUUUUAAAAUGACCUGCUUUUCCACAAUUGAAACAAGUUCCUGAUUUAUUGGGUUUAAGGGCUCCAGCCAUGGCUGCAGCAAAAACAGAAGCUUUGAUGUUCAAUUCCUCCCACUCCAGCACAAGCUUUCACAUAUUCACUCAAUGAGGCUUUUUGCCCUUUUAAUGGCUCCAAAAUAUGCUUACAUUCAGGAUUUGCAUUUUCAAAUGCUAAUGUUUCCAAUAAUACCUUUGCUAUUUGAUCUUGACCCAUUGCCCUCAUUACAAAAGUACGCGGCCUUGCAAGAAAAUCAGUGUAAGGUUCAGUAGCCCCUUGUAUAGUUUUAGUAAAGGAAGGUUGUGCCUGACCAGUGGGUAUCACACAUCUCUAAGCUCUUAAACCUGUCAAACUUGUUGAAGAUCUGGAUCUGUAUAUUGAGCCUGUCUCUAAAGGCACGGUAAUUGAUGUAGAGAAUCAGAUGUAACUGCAUUACUAUUACUGCAACAUUUGGCGUAGUCGGCAGGAUUUGCAUUUUCAAAUGCUAAUGUGUUGCAGUAAUAGUAACGCAGUUACAUCUGAUUCUCUACAUUUCUGGGCUCAUUCUUCUGUUCCUUUUGUCUAUUUCCAAUGCCUUUCCCACUGCCACACUCUGGGAUCACUGAAGCUUUAUGAUAAGUGCUGGAACCAGAUGUGCAGAGUCUUGAACUAUUUUUAAAAUAUCUUUAUUUUGUUUGUUUAUUUUUAUGUGGUGCUGAGGAUCCAACCCAGUGCUUCACAUGUGCGAGGCAAGUGCUCUGCCACUGAGCCACAUUCCCAGCCCCCUUUUGAGCUAUUUUUGAUCAUUCCUUUGCCAUAUCUUCUAGCUCAGCAUUUGCAGGUAUCUUCUGUGGUGCUGUGAUUGGGAUUCUGCUGCAUCUAAAGAUCAAAUGAGAAAGAAGUAUCUUCCCAACAUUAAUGGUUGAAUUGAUUCCGAGCAAAGAAAAUCACCGCACUUAUUUAUGUUUCUUUUCAUUCCUUUCAACCAUGUUCAAAGUUCUCUGAAUGCAUAUUUGUAUAUGUGUUGUCAGAGUAACCCUUCAGUAUUUCAGGAGAGCUAUUUUUUUUUUAAAAAUUCAAAUUCCAGUAAUUCCCGUGUGGCCUACAUAUAGCACACCAGUUUCCUCUUGUCCCUUAGCCAUCUGCUUUCCCUCUUGAUAUUUCCAUAUGACUUGGGCUGUUUUCUGUUGCUGUAUCUGCUCAACUGAGGCUGAGUCAUUCAUUAAGAAGCCAUUUUUAGUGCUGGGGAUGUAGCUUAGUUGGUGGAGUGCUUGUCUCACAUGCACAAAGCCCUGGGUUCAAUCCCCAGCACCAAAAGAAAAAAAAAAAAAGCUAUUUUUAAUUUAAGGUGUGUAGAGAGUCCCAGGUCAGGGGCUGCAUCUGUUGAAGGCCUCUUCUGGAGGGGACUCUGCCAUAUCCUGAGGCACGGCAUGAAGAGACCAGCUGGCUUUUGUAGCAAAUCUGUUCCCUUGACAACUCACUGAUCCACUAAUUAAUUAAAUAAGUAAUGUUUGUGGUGGUGGGGAUUGGACCCCAGGUCGUGUGCAUGUGAAAAAGCACUCUACCCACUGAGCCUUCGAUCCAUUCAUUUACGAAUGGAUAAAUCACUCAUGAGGGCCGAGUGCUCAGGCCAGUCAGUCCUCAGAGUUCCCCUUACUGCUCCCACAUCACAUCAUAUGAAUUCUGGAUGGCAAAAUUCAAACCAUAGCACCAUCAAAGACAAUCCAGGAACAGAAUUCACUUGUGAUAUUUUUCCCCAUGUUUUCUUUAUUUUCAUAUCAAUUCCUUCUCAUUAAAUACCUGCCUAUUGGCCCCGUCCAGCAAGUGUCCUCCACUACAAAGUCCCAGAGAUGAGUCAGCUGGUCCCUGAUAAUAGAAGGCAACCAAAUGACGACAUGAAUUUAUAUGUUCAGAGGACAGAGGAACGUCUCUUCUUGAACAAGAGGAGGCUGACAAAGAUCCUCUGCUUGGCCACACUUCUGCAGACUCCUGGACCCUCUCCUGGGCUUGCUGCUGCCCCACCUUGUAAACUUCAGUGCCUGGAGAGCACCCUGCUCAACAGUUUAGCAAGGACACCCCCUCCCCAGUAUCGGAUCAGGCUCCUCAUCCUCUGCCAUCCCUGGUGACAUCUGGCUACCCUGGCUGUCUCCAGAAGCAUCCUGUUUGGUGGGUUUAGCAAGGACAACCCUUCCCCAGCAUAUAGGGCCCUGAUUAAACCCUCUGCUUUAAUGGGUAAUUAUUUCCCUAAUGCUGCAAGGCAGGAGAUUGUCCGCAGACACCAGAAGCUGAAGAGGCAAGGAAGGACCCUCCCAACAGCUGUCAGAGGGAGAAUGGCCUUGCUGACCCCCUCAUUUGGGGAUUCUGGCCUCCAGAAUGGGGAGAUCGCAGGUUUGUGUUUUAAGUCACACUUAUUUCUGUGCUGUGUUUUGUUGGUCCUGGAAAUGGACCCACUGGCUCUCCCUGUGCUAAAGAUAUCUGCUCCUCCCAGUGCACCUUGCGAAUCACCUCAGCAUUAAGGAGACUGUUCUGAAUUUGAAGCUGAGGAGGCAUCCUGGAGCAGUUUGGCUUUGGUUAGGGGAGGGACCACGGAAAGUGGCCAAGGCAUUUGGAGGGCUGAGUUGAAAGACCACAGGGCAGGUCAGGGGCAUGUGGCAGGAAAGGAGCUGUGUCAGUUUUGAGCCCCUCAGUUCUCCUGUUCUGAGCUCAGGCCAUUCACCGCUGUGCCUGGGGACAUUUCUGUGUGACAGCUCUCAGCUCAGGGAUGAGCAUCAGAUCCAAGACCAGACUGUGCUCUUCCUCGGUGGGCAGCAAAGUCCAUGCCCUGAGCGUUGGGCAUUGCUCCCUUCCAACCCUCUUGUUCUUCUGAGGGAGACCUCAGCACAUUCUAGUCCUUCUAUGCUGGGGUGCAGAGUCCUGAUUCCAGCCCCUCCAGCAGCACAGGAAGGGGUGCAGUGACAGAGGGAGCGACACCUCUAUCCGGUGGCCUGGAUGGUCCCUCUGCCCUCCCUGAGCCAGGCUGGGCCUUGGCCUAUUGUGUGAAUGUUAAUAGAAAUACAGCAUCACUUCUUAAUAUUCUUAAAAGAAAAAGGUGUUUUUAGAAAAAAAAAAUUUCCAUAGAAGGAAAGUGAGGAUCUAGGAUUCGUCUGGAGGAGUGGGGUGCACUCCUUCACUGACUGGCACCCCAAGUGGACACACAAACACAAAUACAAGUGUAGACAUGUGUGUAGGUGCACACAUACAAGACACCCUCACAGCCUUCCCCAUCAACUCUGUUACACAUCCCCAUGACACACCCAUGCACCUCUGCGUGCCUUUACAUACGUACACCCACCCCCAUCCCUGUCUGGCUUGCACCUCUGAGGCUGCAGAUUGGAGGAAACUAGGAGAGGAGCCAGGAGAAGCCGAGGAGGAGCCUGGCAGCAGACAGAGGGAGCAUGUGGUCAUGCACAUCUUCUAGAGUUUUGCAGUUUCGCAUUGUAAACGCAAGUCUAUGGAGUAUUUUGACAGGUUCUGGGCUCCAGUUGUGUGCCUUCUUGAGGUGCGUCUGGAUCCUAGGUUCAGAAACAGCUUGCUGGGAAUUUCACUUGGAGUCACUGAAUCUGCAGAGGAGGUUCAUCUUAACGACACUGAGACCUGAACAAGGAAUAUCUCUGCAUUUAUUUAUAUUGCAUUUGAUUUCUUUCUACGUUUCAAGAUUUUCUGGAAGUAGGUACUUUAAUUUUGGGGGGUGCUAUUUUACAUGUGAACACAUUUAAAAUGCUCUUAUUCCAGUUUACACAUUCCACUCUUUCCUCUACAUGAUGCUACUAUAUAGGAAAUCAGUGGAAUUUUGCCUAGGGGCCAUGUACUUUGCAGCUUUCUAUCUCCAUCCAUUGUGCCCAAGACAUAGGAAGGGCU